AUUAUGGGUUAGGUGAGGAACCUCGCCCUCUUCUAUUACGGUACGCGCGAUGGGUAUUCCCUGAUGCCAUGAACUUACACGUUUCACACACGGGACCAGACGCUUGCUUUAGUUGACGCAUGAAGACCGGUCCGGUCUUUUGCGGAGAAAAGUGGUUAAAAGCUGACUUGUGGGCCGAGAAACUGUGGCACCCUAAUGAGCUAGGGCUAGACGCUUCGACCACCACGCCAAGUGAUUCUGAAGAUCUCUAAUUCUGUCAAGGCGAGAGCGCUCCAACACGUGUUCAUCGGCUGUUGCUUUUUAAAGAGAAGGCAAGGAGGAAGUCUUGCUUUUCUUGUACUUUUUUUCCUAGAAGCAGCAUUAAAGAUUUACUCCUUAUGUUGAGGAAGCGGAAAGCCUCUUCACUUUAAAAGUGUUUAUGAUCGGGCCUGGCGCGGUGACUCACCGCGCCCGGCCUGCUACACCUUUUAAAAUUCACAGCAAUGAUAAAUGUAUUAGACUCAUUGCCAGGAUAAAGAUUUAAUCUAUUUUUCUAGUAGUGCCGUCCUAUGUGGUUCUGUAGUUGCUUAUUCCAACUGGUAUAUUUCCAUAGGAUGGGGUUGAAUAAGAAAAACUUGCAAACUUUCAGAAACAGUAAGUUAUUUUUAUAUUUUUGAAGGCUUGCUGAGUAACGCUUCUCUUGGUAGCACUACCUUAUCUACCCUUCAGAGACUGUUAUUUCUUAGGAGUGGCCCUGGGCAAUUAAAAGCAAAAACUUCUGGCCGGGCAUAGUGGCUCAUGCCUGUAAUCCCAGCACUUUGGGAGGCCGAGGCGGGCAGAUUACGAGGUCAGGAGAUCGAGACCAUCCUGGCUAACACGGUGAAACCCAGUCUCUACUAAAAAUAGAAUAAAUUAACCGGGCGUGGUGGCGGGUGCCUAUACUCCCAGCUACUCCGGAGGCUGAGGCAGAAGAAUGGCGUGAACCCGGGAGGCGGAGGUUGCAGUGAGCGGAGAUCGCGCCCCUGCACUCCAGCCUGGGCGACAGAGCGAGACUGUCUUAAAAAAACAAACAACAACAACAAAAAAACCCCAAAAACUUCUUUACUCAGAAGUACCCUCCUUUGCAUUGGAGAUACAUGUAAAGAGUUGCUUAGCAGUUGAAUAACUCAAAAUUGCAUUUUGGAAGCUUGCUAAGUGACAAGACCUUCUUAAAUGUUAAAGGCAGUUUUUC
rnacentral:lncRNA from 1 species